UACGGAGGAUGCGAGCGUUAUCCGGAUUUAUUGGGUUUAAAGGGUGCGUAGGCGGAUUAAUAAGUCAGUGGUGAAAACCUUCAGCUUAACUGGAGACUUGCCAUUGAUACUGUUAGUCUUGAGUAUGGUUAAGGUAGGCGGAAUGUGUAAUGUAGCGGUGAAAUGCUUAGAUAUUACACAGAACACCAAUUGCGAAGGCAGCUUACUGAGCCAUAACUGACGCUGAUGCACGAAAGCGUGGGGAGCGAACAGG
rnacentral:rRNA from 1 species